rnacentral:rRNA from 1 species
GACGAACGCUGGCGGCGUGCUUAACACAUGCAAGUCGAACGGAAAGGCCCUGCUUUUGUGGGUUGCUCGAGUGGCGAACGGGUGAGUAACACGUGAGUAACCUGCCCUUGACUUUGGGAUAACUUCAGGAAACUGGGGCUAAUACCGGAUAGGAGCUCCUGCUGCAUGGUGGGGGUUGGAAAGUUUCGGCGGUUGGGGAUGGACUCGCGGCUUAUCAGCUUGUUGGUGGGGUAGUGGCUUACCAAGGCUUUGACGGGUAGCCGGCCUGAGAGGGUGACCGGCCACAUGGGGACUGAGAUACGGCCCAGACUCCUACGGGAGGCAGAAGUGGGGAAUAUUGCACAAGGGGCGGAAGCCUGAUGCAGCAACGCCGCGUGCGGGAUGACGGCCUUCGGGUUGUAAACCGCUGUCGCCGGUGACGAAGAGUGAGUGACGGUAAUGGGUAAAGAAGCACCGGCUAACUACGUG